AGAAUGUUAGCUUCAAUUGCCUCCAUGGCUCCGUGUAGCUUUAGCUUGCUAGCACCAUCAGUUUCUUUUGGUGAAAAAACGCCUUCCUCCGCACUUUCUUGAUGAAUUCAUUUUUUCUUUCUCUUCUUACCCCCUGGCAUACUACUAUGAAUAUUCUUAGUUGUGUUAUAACCUGUCAAUUUUCAAGGGGUAACCAGACCACCUGAGAGCUCAAAAAUUAUGCUGCACCAUCCGGAAGUCUAUUUCUAAGGUUUUUAAGGACUUUAACUGAUGCAUCAACCUUUGAAAAUGGAAAGAAAUCAGUCAGAUUCAUGGUUGCAUCAAAGUAUCACAUGUAAUUCUCCCACAUCAGGUGGAUUAUAUCUAUAGCAGCAAACAGCAGCUGAUCCACAAAUCUUUGUCUGUGUUAAUAAAGUUGGAUCAGUUCAAAUAGUUUGUUGCUCUGCACUUGAAAGCAGCAGUUUUUCUAAUGCACCACCUUCAUGUUUCCUUCAUAUUUGAAUCCCCCUGUAGAUACUGACAGGUAACCAUGUCACACAGAGCUCAAGCCUUUGAAUCCAGCUGUGAUUGUUGAUUUUCUAUUGAAUGGACUUUUACAAAUCCAGCUGUAGGCCUGUGUUUGUCAGCUCAUUAACAGCUGUUUAUUUAGAGAUACGUGGUCCUCACAGGACAGCCACUACAAACAUAUGAUUUUAUAGAAUAUGAUGCAUUACUGCAGAUUCAACACAAUAGAAAGGAUUUGAAAUGAGCUCAGCCUUAAACAUGUGCAGCAGUAAUAUUGAUCCAUAGAACACUGAUGGGAACAUUUUUCUGCAAGUACUUUGACUUUUCAUACUUUAUGUCCAAUUUGCCAGUACUGCAGUUUUGUGUGUAGUGAGGUGUUUUCAUGGUGUUUUAUUGGUGCUUUUACUAAAGGAAGGCUUCUAUCAAAUUCUUCCAAAUGUUGUCAAACUGAGCUGUGUGAUGAAGUGAGUGUGACAGAAACACUCAAGACUGUGUUUCUCUGCUUCAUCAAGUCAAAUCUGGUCCUCAGAGACUGAAUAAAGUCCUGUCCCACUAACAGCAGCUCCAACAGUCUGUUCACUGCUUUCUUCCUGUCAGUCUUCAUCUUUCUGCUGUGUCUCCUCUUCAUACUGACCACUUUCUAUCUAACAGUGAGCUCCCAGUGAAGCAGCAGCAUUCA
rnacentral:lncRNA from 1 species